CCACUGACUGGGAUAGGCGAAGUAAAGGGCGAUCAGAAAGUGGCUAGGCAAUGUUGACUCGGCCAUGAAGGUGGAACUUCCAUUCAGUCCGCCAAUGCAAUCACAGAAGCGGGCGUGAACACGGGGCUAUUAAGAGAUGAGAUAGAACAGCUUAUCCUAGAAGACCCCAGAGAGAAACAGGAAUACCAAACCUCUCGAAGAAGUCGUCCCAAUCUCCAUCACCCAAAACUACCCAGACGUCAAGUCAUGACGACAGAGCUCACGAGAAUGCGUAUCACUUAAUCGAUUCUUAAAAAGGAAUUCUGACUGUUUGCAUGGUCACAAGGCCACGUCUCUGGCAUCGACCCAGAGUCACCAUGCAUUAAGUGUUCAACAAGCCUGAAUACUCCCCAAAUCUGCCAGAAACGGAGGAAGUUCGCCCCUGAACGCUGAAAGUUGAAGACGAAUAGCAAAUCAUCAAAGUAAUGUUUUCCGAGAAGCCCAGUAUCCGGAUUGGCUCGCCAAUGUCGAUCGCCCCAAAAAAGGAGGAACAGUGGAGGGUGUGAGUAGAUUCACCGAAUCAACAGACUUGUGCCGAAAGACAGUUUUCCUGCCUAAAAUCGAUUGAUAAUCGACGCACCUCCAAGCAUGAGCUCUUGAGUCUUUAUGGAUGCCUUCUCAGGUUAUCAUCAGAAUCAAAUUGUAUCCUCCUGACAUGAGAAAACUUCCUUUAUCAUGGAACGGGGAGCUAUAUGACUACAAAGUCAUGCCGUUUGGUUUAAGAAACGCCGGGGCAACAUACAGAGACUGGUCAAAAAGAUGUCAAUGCCACAAAUUGGAAAAAACUAUGAAAGUGUACAUAGAUGAAUGCUGGUUAAGAGUAUCCAAGCACACAACCACAUCGCCCCACCUGAAGAAAACAUUCGACAUCUACGGGGUGGACACGAAGAUGUUAAAUCCCCUCUAAAUGUAUCUUUGGAGUGUUUAUAGAAAGUUUAUGGGAUUUCUGUCACCAGCGGGAGUAUUGAGGUUGAACCCGGAUCAAAAUCAAGGCAUUAAUCGCUAAUGAGGAAAACAUUCGUCAUAGGAAUAUCCGUGAAGUACAGCAAUGAACCGGGGCUGAGUUAGCCGCCCUGAACAGAUUUCAUCUCGCCAAAUCAUGCGGACUAAGUGCCUAUCGUUCUUCAAAAUCCUGAGAAAGAGUCCAGACACUUUUAAUGGAGUGAGGAAUCUGAAUAAUGCGUUCCGACAGCUGAAAGAAAUAUCUCGGGCCCCGCCUUAUACUCGGUCUGCCCACCGCCGACGAAGAUCUCUAUGUGUAUUAUCUGACCCGCCACCGCAAAUAAGUGCAGUACAAUUCUGAGAGAAGGUAAAAUCCAAAAAAAACCAUUAUAUUACGUUAGCAAAACUUAAUUGGUGUAGAGCCAGAUAUCCGAGGAUUGAAUAAAGAUCGCCUAUCUCUAUGAUCGCCCGCCAGAAACUUCGUCAUUACUCCAGGCCCAUUCCAUCAAGUGUUGACGAUCAACCACUAAAGCAAGAAAUUUUUCCUCCAACUGAUGGACACGUUGCGGGUAGGAUCCUUGAAAUGGUCCAUCGAGCUAAGUGAGUUCAACAUGAGUACAGCCACGAACGGCAAUAAAAGCCAGCCCUGGCUGAUUUUAUGUCGAUAAAUCCACCCAUGAGAAACUCCACAAUCAGAGACUCCUUCGUUGAGUGCGGGAAUUCCUAAAGAACCAACCUAGAAAAAAGACCUCACCCACUGGAUAUGUCAUUGAUGGCUCUUCUAAACCAGCACGGUGCGGUGCAGGCUCGUCAUCGAGUCCAUCAGGGCGAACAGAUGGAGUACGCCUAAGAAUGGGCGUUUAAAGCACCAACAAUGAAGCCGAGUAGCAAGCCCUCCUCGUCGGACAGUAAGAGUCGCAACAGAGUUGGGAGGCACAUCUUUGGAAGUCUUCAGUGACUGUCACAAUGGUGGUAAAACAAAGGUCCAAGGAGACUUACCUCGUGCAAGGAGCAACAAGAUGUGGAUAGCUUAUUUAGGCGAGGUGAGGCUAUGUCCGCAAAGACAAGGAGUUAAGAUCCACCAGAUUCCGAGACGAUACUAAAAAGGCAGAUGCCUUGGAUAAUCUGGCGUUAACUUUGGAGUUUAUUUCAACAGGUGCAUACUAUGGAAUUUUUAAGCCAGACCAGCAUUCGAAUCGCUAAUCAGGUCAUCCAAGCGGAAGAAAGUCGUGGGGAUGGACGAAAUUAUGCCUAUCUCCAGGAGGUAUCUUGGCCAAAAGAAAAACUCCAGCCGUCGUCUCUAUACAGAUUCUCGCUAUAUUUUGCAUAUUCAACGGAAAUUGUUAAGCAAAAGGUUUUCUCCUCGGGACCCCUCUUGAAAUGUCCUCCGACCAUAAGAAGCAGAGUACGUCUAAAAGAAAUACAUGAGGGCAUCUGGGGCGGGAAACCACUGCCGACAAGGUCGUUAGCUAAGGAAGACAUUCGCCAGGAUAUUUUUGGCCGCUCAUGGAAUGAAUAUGUGGCUACAUAUGUUAAAGAGAUGCGACAAAUGUCAGAGAUUUGCUCCCGUCAUCCAUCUCCCCCACACUGAGAUGGUACGAUGUCAGGCCCCCUUUGCCAUUCUCCCAAUGGGGAAAACAUAACAUACUAACUGGGUCCCCUCCGCGAGCUCCCAUUGCAAAAAAAUUUUUGCAUCGUCGCCAUUAGACUAUUUUACCAAAUGGUAGAAGCCCAACCUCUCGCCAAAAUUACUGAGAAAAAUACCCUAGAAUUUCUAUGAAAACAAACAUCUUGGUGUAGAUACGUAAUCCCAAAGGUAAUCAUCUCGGACAACGCAAGGCAUUUGACAACCGACAGGUUCAUGUUAUUCUCUCGGAUCUCGCCAUCUCCACAUUUCUCUUCACCUCACCCGGUCAUCCGUAGGCUAACGGACAAUUGAAGUAACUAAUGUACCCAUCCUCAGGAUUGAAGGGCGAGGUUAGAAAGAUCAAAAAAGGCGAAUGGCGGAAGACUUACAAGCAUCUCUGGGCUUAUCAUACUACUGUUCGGAUUUCUACAGUGAAACUCCAGACUCCAUGGUCUUCGGAGCUUAAGCAGUCAUACCAGUGGAAUAGGUAAUGCCACUUCAGAACGUUAAACUUUUUGACCAAUGGCCAUCUAGGGGCGAGCCUCAGGGCUCACCUUGAUCUCCUCGAAGAAAAGAGAGAGCGCCGAAUUCUCCAAGCGGCUUAAUAAAAGUCGGACGCCAAAUACUAACUGACACCACAAAGAGUACGCCACGCUCGUAUCCUCUUGGCCUGGUCUUGCGAAGGGUAACCCUAUCCACAAGAGAUCCAACGCGCAGGAAGCUCGGUCCAACAUGGGCAAGGCACUUACAAAGUUAUCAAAGUUUCCAUGCCAGGGACUUGUUUGGCUGAGAUUCUAAAACGGGAAAAGCAACUUCCACAUCCUGGAACCCGACAUUGAAGAAUAUUAUCAAAGUUUUAAAAGGGAAAUUUGAUCCAGUGAUUCUGUUAUUUUUGCGAUUUUAUAUUAUAAUUGGAAAAUUUUUAUGAUUCGCCUAUGGUUCACCUCACCAGUUAUUAAAAGAAUUUAUGUCGCCAAAUUAAAUCGCCGUUUCAUCCAUUAAAGGUAGGCGUCUUGAAUCAUCGUUAUUUAUGUCGCCAAACUCAGGAUACACUCAUUCGUUGUCUAAACGAUAAGGCGCCCUGAUCGCCAUAAACAAAUGUUGCCAAAAUCGUAUUCGCCACUCCCUUAACAAUGGUAAUUUGAAUCGCACUGGACUUAUCGCCUCAUAGCCGUUCGCCCUAGACGGAUGAGAGUUUAAUUUACUUGUAACAAAAAUAACCAAACUAUAUAACCUCACCAAAAAACAAUACGUCCGGUGAGAUUCAUUCAUAAUACUGAUUAACAUUUUGUUUUGAAGCCUUCGCCUAAGCGCUGGCCAAAAAAAAAAAAAUAUUUAUACAUUAGGAGCACUCCUGCACAGAUUUCUUGUCUCCUUCUUUCAAUCGCCCUCUCUUCCCCUCGGCAAAACUUGGGUCCAUCGCCAUAUUCGCCCACGUCUCACCGAGGUUUGGGAAACUUUGAUGGAGAAGCUGCCUUUUUCUAGAACUCAAUCCCUCGCGACAGUAAUGUUUUUUUUGUUUUUUUGCAAAAGAAAUAAAAAGCAACAAGGGAGCAAGGAAAGUGAAAUUGAGUGGGGUGGGAGAGCAGUGGGAAACCCUCCUCUUUCCCCCCCCGCCAUGGUGGCCGAUCCAGCCUGAAUUCCCCCUAGGCUAUUUGAAGUCCUCGAUGGCUAGCUUCCUUGCCUUCGCCAGUUUAUUUGUGAGUUCCUCCACGACGGCCUUCAAGAUCAUCCACCCUCGUGCUAGGCUUUGAAUCCAAUGCCUUCCUCGCUUGAGCUUCGGCCAACCGAUUUUCCGCCUUAACACUCGCUUUUGAGCUUUAAAAAAAACCAAUUUCAAGCUCGGCGGAAUCUGCGCUGCCAUAUGAAGUCUAGUCGUGGAAUGCUCCUGGCUACGGAGGGCAGAGAAGAGUCGAACUGACCAACUUCCAAAUACACUUAGUAUUUGUUAAAAGAAACAACGCCAAGUUUUUCCCUCCACAAAUACCCUGACCCAAGGCAUGGAAAGAUUUGGCGACCAAUUCAUUCUCGAUAGUCCAUCAACCUCUUUAUUUUCGAAGCCGGAAUCACCCCAGUGAGCACCUCCGACCAUAUAAGCAUCCGACAUAGAUUGGGAAUCCUAUAUCGCCACCAGGGGAAAGGUCCCCGCCUCAGCGGCACGCCCCCUGGCAUUGAUCGCCCCUCGGUUGGAUUUUUAAUCUUUUAGGCAGCGAUGGGGCUGCGUGCGGCUCUUUUUCCCUUCGAAGAGUCCGUCUCGCCUAUUCGUUACGAGGUCGCCUUCCCGCGUAUGUUCAUUUCUCCCGAAUCACGACUCCUUUGGUGGGAGCUUGGCGUCGUCAGCCUUUACACAGCUUCUCGGCCUUGGCCUUUCCUCCUGUUUUUUCCCCAAGCGGGGGCACCAGCUCGAGCCGAUAUAGCUGCACAUGGGAUGUCAAUAAGAAGAAAACAGUAAACAAUUUUUUCUAGAAUAUACCAUCAGAUUUGAGCUCGAGGGGUAGCUCGGAAUCUAAAUGAAUCCGACCCCGAAUCCGACUAGACCGGACGUCCCAGAUAGAGAUCCCGUAAACAGGCCCUUUCCCUUCCCCCUAGCACCUAAAAGGGUGUUUCCAUCGGGGAUACCAGGCAGGGCUCUCUAAUCACCCUUCCGAUACCCCGUCCUAUGACUCCCAGAUAUAGACCGAAUCUUCGCGGAACCGACUCACCCGAUUCGUGUUGUCUCCGCCACUGGUGAAAGCGCCGUGGCAACAACCGCGAAUUUUCUUGAAGGUUCGCGAACCCAGAACCUCGAAACCUCUAAGUAGCCUCUGGCUCUAUCUCCCGAAGAUCGCCCUCCGUCCUCUUGGCGUCAACCUCGGACAGGUCCGGCACUUGGUUGGCACUUUUCCCUGAAAAUCGCAUGUCAGGCGACUAUAAUGGCUCACAAUCAAAAACAAUAGGAACUACCUGGGUUCCCCAAUAUCUGGGGAUCGCGGGUACUAUCGCUGACGGCCGUGCCCGAGGGGAUCUCCCACUCAUCCCCUAGGGUAAAAAAGAACCUCGUCUUCCACCCCUUUACUUGCUCUGAAGAUCCUCGGAGCAGUUCUUCUCAAGCCCGCCUUAAAGUAGUACCACCCCAAUUCGGGUAGGAUCUGAGGGAGUAUAAGCACCUCAAUUCGUCACAGGACAUGUGAUGUUUGAAGUGCGCCAGAUCACUAGUGAAAGUGACUGAUCGCCAUGCGUUGGAGAUCACUGGGCGUGCAAAUUCUUGUAAUGAAUCAAAAUUUCCCAUAAUGGUCGGAUGAAGGGAAGGCCUUAAGCCGUCUAGAAAAGCGGCUCGUAAAAUCUACCUCGCCUUGGCGGCUGAUAAAUUGUCUCGCCAUCCCCAGAAUCUAAAGUCGUACCCCUGGGGAAAUAAACACGUCACUCCGAGAUUGGCCAUUUCAGCCUUGGCACAUGAUGUUAUUCUCCUUAUUGCGACUCGAGGUGUCCAUCUUUGGGAAAUUUGUUAUUAUUGAUGGAAACGACGGAGACUGGCUCGUUUCGUCGAUAUAAGACUGUCGCCCCUAGAUGGAUCGAUAUCCAAGAAGGCAGGGUUGCUCAAUUCUUCGCCUACGAGGGUUGGUCUGUGAGAACGUAACGGGACAGUCGACCUGUUUACACGAGAUGCAGUUUACAAACGGAGCGCACUUCGACAGCAACAGAAUGUGCGAAUGAAUAGGUUAACCCCCAUUUAUAUACACACGGGGAGGGCUUUGGAUCGAUCAGGCCCAACGGCCCAAAUCACGCGACUGUUCGAUUUCCGAAUGUAAAAACUGUCGUUCCCGCCAUUAGACCAUUUUCCCGCCGACUCAACCUUUCUGCAUUUACGUUCCCGUCCACGUGCCCUUAGAGUGAGUCCGUUGACAAAAACUCCACCUGGCCAGACCAUCAUUGCACAAACACGUCAACAUUGGUCAUGCGAACAGGCUGUGAUUCUCUGUGAUUAGAAACCAUCUUGAUGAAUGCCUACGUCGCUAUCGCGCAUUAAAAUUGUAACAUAUCUUACCCGGUAAAUCUGAUUACCUCUUAUUGCGGCUGAAGCUACUUGCUCACCCAAACGUGUUGCCUCGUGAACUACAAGUCCAACCAUGCCGCCCAAAUCUUAUAUCGCCCAAGGGUAAGAAGGUCCUAGUCGCCAGUUCGUUACAAACUACUUGAGGAAUCUUGAUCACCGUUACAGACUCGCCAUUAUGAGAGCGCCCAUUCAUUCCGCUAAGGAUCUUCAUCGCUAGUCGACGAUUUCGCCUAUAUAUCUCGUCGCCCAAAGCUUAUAUUGUUUAAGGUGUGAACGUUUUGAUCGCCCAUUUUCACCAUGAAUACGUAAUGCAUUAAGAUAAACGCAUCAUGCCAAAGUAAUUCAAGUCAAAAGGAAAAACGAAACAUAAGUUAGGAGAGAAUCAGCUUUUUAUUUAUCAUCGAAAGAUCCGGAUACAAAAUAACAAAAAAAAAAAAAUCCCAAGGGGAAUCCUUAAACAAACAGCUUCGCAAAAAAAAAAAAAAAAAAAAAAAAAAAAAAAAAAAAAAAAAAAAAAAAAAAAAAAAAAAAAAAAAAAAAAAAAAAAAAAAAAAAAAAAAAAAAAAAAAAAAAAAAUAACCCCCUCUACCCGGCUGCCCCUUUCUUCGGCCGCUCUUUUCUCCUGCUUCAGCCCCCUCUUUGGCGAGGAAUUCAUGGUCCAUCUCGCCGUCCUCCAGAUCGCGGCCAAGGUCAGGAACUGGGGCGCGAGCUGCCUCUUGCAGAAGUCAAAACCAUCGCCGAAAUAAGAGGAUGCCAGAAACCCCCCCUCCCGCUUCUAAAAAGUCAUCCACUCUUUGAACGUGGCGAUGAUCCUACCUUUCGUGAGAGACUGGCUUUUUUCCACGCCGGAGAUCUCGCCUCUAGCCUCGCGAUGACCUUGCCUCUGGCCUCGGCAUCUCAGCGAGCUUCUCCCUCGCCUUCUCCUCAGCCAAAGGCACCCUCGAAUUCAAUGCCCUAUUUGGCGCUCGAAACCAUUUUCCAUUUCGGCAAUUCAGCGACAGCCUUUUUGAUUGAGAGUGCACUCGCGAAAUCCCUGCUGCGAACGCUAGAGAAGACACCCCUAAGAUAACCCCCUGCUCAAACAGACUCGAAAUUACCGCACUGAAUAGAAUUGACAACACCUUUAGGGAAAAACAAAUACCUGGCCGAUCACAUGGAGAAACUUUGUCACCACCUGAUCGAAGGUGAGCCUAUCCACCUUCUCCUUAUCCGCCGGAGUAUCACCCCGGCCAGAAUUUUUUUCUGCUGUGGCGCACUGGCCAUCACUGAGCCUGUUGGCCCAAGUCUUCGCCAAGAGUUCGUCUGGCGCGAACUACCCUCUACGGAGCUGGGCGGCCUCACGGGAGCUUCAGACGUUCCGAGUAUCGAUUUUAGCCUCCUUUGACACUGGCAAUUGGGCGACCUUCUUUCCCUUGGACCCAUCGUCCAAGUCCUUUUACCGGUGUGGUCUCUUACCCUUCCGAGAUAACACGCCCUUGAAGCGGAGGUGGCGGGCCCUUGAGCACAACCUUGGCGAGGUCACUGAGCUUGAGUCCUUACCCUGCCGCUCACUGAUUAACAAGGCAUCCUAGAAGGGAGACGUCGGAAGCAGGUUCAGUAAUAUAAAUCGUGAGGUCAAAAAUUGCCGAAGGACAGGAGAGCCCCCUAUAUAUAGAGAGAAUCACGUUCCAAUCUACUCAGAAUAUGUUGCGAUGUGGGACGCUUCGACCAGAGUUCCGCAUUUAAGGCCUCCUUGCCACUGGGCUCCAUCGAUGUUGCCACCAUCAUUCAAGGUCACGUCAUCAGAAGAAUUACGUUUACUCGAAGUCCCAACUAUUCCACUCGACACUUCUAGUAAUGGGGCUACCUUUUUGAUGUGGGGUAAAAUAUUCACAUAUUAUAUUCAAGUACCUCGCCCUAAGGAAACUGGACAUCGCCAGACAUCAUCCUAUGAAGUCCCAUCUCCGCAUUUAGAAUGCCAAACGCUCUCCGAACCCUCUUUACCAGAGUAAAACAGUCCAACGGUCCGACAUGGGACCUCGCCAAUCAUCUUCACUGAACUCGCCAGCCACAUCGAGUCCCGCAUCUCCUGCGCGAAGAGUCCUGGUACUGUCCCUCCUCGCCCUUGUGGCGAGGUAGAAUACUUGGUGAAAUCUUCCCCUAACACCUUCAGAAUCCUAUCUAUACAUUGAACCUAUCCUUUUCGAAUCUCUCCAUACAGACACCAAUUCCAGCUCACCCCGGACGUCGCGCUUGCUGGGGGCUUUUACACUCCGACCUUUGCACGGGAUGCCCUCCAUAUGCCGCAAUCCCAAUUAAUGUCUCCAUAAAUACCCCGAGAUAUCUUUCCAUACUCAUCCUUCCAGGAUCUCGCCGUGAUCCAUGGACAUGGCCCAUUACUCCAUCUAUAAAAAGGCCGCCCCCCGUUAAACAAGGUAUGCUCAACACACUCCACAAUUCUCUUUAGAGCUAUCCUAUCCUGCUGUCACACCUUGGUCUGAGCUCUAACCCGGAGGGGUUUUGAGCGGCUCUCGCCCCGGUCGUUUACUUUGUUCGUCUGUGCAGGUCGCCUUCAGUAUCCGAGUCCAGUGCCGAGGAGACCGAGCAAUAUUGACUGUUUGUUGCUCCCCCAUUUUUCCCACAACAUUUUUUUGCUAAAUAUAACGAUAAGUUUAAAUAACAUUUUUCUUAUUUUAUGCUAAAUAACUCUUAAAAAUAAAACCCAACCUGUUUUCCGGCAACAUUCUACCCCCCAUUAAUCGUCAAGUCGGCCAAACCACGCUUCAUCUCCACCAAGACAUGCCCUGACCUAUCCUUUCUUCUCUCGCCAAAGCUUGUAGAGUUCUUUUACUGAGGCUCGGUUUUCGGCUACUCGCACGUGUUUCAGCAUCUCCAGCCGGCGGGUCGCUGUUGUUGCAAAAAUCAAUGCCAUAUGCUAAAUAAUCUUAAAUAAUUAUGAGAGAGGCACCUCCCCCGUCGGGGUCACUGUUAUUUUCAAAUCAAAUGCAAAUGCUAACUAAAAUUUAAUAAUUAUGAGAUAUUAUACGACUAAGCCAAUAUCUUAAAAUUGUAUUCUCCUUUUGGCGCAAGUUGUGACGUGCCAAUACAAUUCAAAUGUUAACUUCAUAAAAUGUCUUCACGUCUUCAAAUAUAAAGAUACUAGUAGUUAUCCGUGUUUAUGGAUACAAUAUAAAAAAAAAAAAAUCACUUUUUAGGCGUACUCGUUAAAAUUUUACAACCUAAAAAAUAUAUGAGAUAUAAACGUCAGAUAAAAUAUACAUUGCAUGCAUAUAUAAAGAGAUAUAUUGCUAAAAAAUGGAGAACAAAUUAAAAACUAUAAUGAUUUAAAAAAAUUAUAUUAGUUUGAGAGAAAUGAGGGAGAAAGAAAGAGAUGUUUUCGUUUUCUCUGUGUGUGGAUCCCACUAAAAAAUAAUUUAAUCUCGAUUUAGAUAUUUUUGUUCAUUGAAUAAGAAAUUAUGUGGGUCUCACCCUUUUGAGACGAAGGAAGUGCUAUUUUUGAAAGAAAAAUAAUCUCAUGUGAAACUUAGCCACUGAAUUAAGUCAAAUAUAUUUUCACACGUAGAUAGAAAAAAAUAUUGAGAUUCAAAUGAGCUGUUUGUUGUAUAAUAAUAGAUUAAAAACAUCUAACCUUAAACUCAUGUUUAAUAUUUGGACCCUUGCCAACUAGCCGACUCAUCUUUCUGACUUCAAUUGUACAUUAUAAUAUAAUUAUACUUUUUCUUAUGCUUUUUUAGCUUAUAUACUUUUAUUUUAUAUAUUUUUUCAACCUUUCUACUUUUUAACAUUUUAAUAUUAAGGUGAUUGAUGUAAUGCCAAUAAAAUUAUUUUAUAUUUAUAUUUUUAAACUUAUUAAUGACAUAAUUAUGAUGUUACAGUUCGAUUUACGGUUUGACUCGGUGGUUGAACCAAUGACUCAUCCACCUGAUCACUAUUUCAGUUUAUUUAACUGUCCGAUUUUUAAAAUAUUGUUUUAAUAUAAUAUACUUUUUUUCCCAAAUUUUAAACUAGAAAAUUUCUCUUAAUAUUAAAAGAAAAAGUUAGAUCCAUCCACUAAUGAAAGAAUAAUAAUAAUUAAGAGAAGGGUGGUUGAAUCUUAAUAUCCACGAACCUAGAAACUCCACAGAAAUUAUCUUGCGCAGUUCACGCCAAUAUGCACCAUAUGGGGAGAACCCAACCAUGGCAUAGUUGUAGCCGAGGUGUUGGGCCGCGGCAAACUUCGGCCGGGACGAUAUCGCGAUGUCAUGGGUGGUGAAACAUUCCUUGGCUAUCUCUGAGUUACUCACCACCACCGCUCGUUUCAUCCCGAGGCGGAUGCUGAAGAUCGGCCCGUGCUUGUCGGCCAU
rnacentral:lncRNA from 1 species